CCUCCAGGCCUCUACAGAGCUGAUCGAAUUAGGCUCAACCAGUUCAGACUGGUGGUCUCUGGUCCACCGCUACACAGGAGACCCCGUCACUGCUGACAGCGCAGGUGAUGGGAGCCUAAAAGAGGGAGUGACCUAUCAGCAGAUGCAGGGGAUCAUAGAGGAGCUGCUGGAGGAGAGCAGCUACUACCGAGCACCAAACAGCAUUGGUGCAGAAGAGAAAAGAA